rnacentral:rRNA from 1 species
UCCGUAGGUGAACCUGCGGAAGGAUCAUUACAGAGUUCAUGCCCUUACGGGUAGAUCUCCCACCCUUGAAUUAUACUACAUUGUUGCUUUGGCAGCCGUCACACGCUGCCAGAGGAUAAACCAAACUCUUUUUAAUAUGUCGUCUGGGCAUUAUAUAAUAGUUAAAACUUUCAACAACGGAUCUCUUGGUUCUGGCAUCGAUGAAGAACGCAGCGAAAUGCGAUAAGUAGUGUGAAUUGCAGAAUUCAGUGAAUCAUCGAAUCUUUGAACGCACAUUGCGCCCCUUGGUAUUCCGAGGGGCAUGCCUGUUCGAGCGUCAUUUGUACCUCAAGCUCUGCUUGGUGUUGGGUGUUUGUCCAGCCUCUGUGGCUAGACUCGCCUUGAAUACAUUGGCAGCUAGAGCGUCGGCUUUGGAGCGCAGCACAAUUUGCGUCCCUGGCUGAGGCUAUAGCACCCAUGAAGCUACCAUUUACUUUUGACCUCGGAUCAGGUAGGGAUACCCGCUGAACUUAA